CGGCCCCGCCCCGCCCCUCCCGGGACCCGGGAGCCACAGGGACCCUUCCCGGGUUUCUAAAGGGUCUGAAGGGCGAGAGGAUGGGCGGCGGGUGGGGUGUGGCAAGAGAAAAAGGGAGGAUCCGCCGGAGAGGUUGCCCGGGGCACGGUGUGGGUGUCUGCAACGGGGUCAAGUGUGCUGGGGCGCCGCGCGUCUGCGCCGGAAGAGCGAGCGCGUAAAGCGAGCUGGAGCUUCCAGCCAAACACAACCCAGAGUCCCCGUCUCCACCCCCACCCCGGCUAAUGAUGGCUGCACCCCCAAGCUGGAACCUGCCUCUGCAAAAUCAGCCCUCAGCCUCUCGGCUUCAGGGUUAGCAGAUGUGAUUCCUCCCCACUUCCCCCACUCCAGCCCAGUCUCUAAGCCUUCAGACUAAGUGGGGUUCCACGCAGAGAAGUGUUUACUUAUUUUUGAGAGAGAGAGCGGGGAAGGAGCAGAGAGAGGG